GAGUUUGAUCUUGGCUCAGAUUGAACGCUGGCGGCAUGCCUUACACAUGCAAGUCGAACGGCAGCACGGGAGCUUGCUCCUGGUGGCGAGUGGCGAACGGGUGAGUAAUGCAUCGGAACGUAUCCUGGAGUGGGGGAUAACGUAGCGAAAGUUACGCUAAUACCGCAUAUUCUGUGAGCAGGAAAGCGGGGGACCUUCGGGCCUCGCGCUCUUGGAGCGGCCGAUGUCGGAUUAGCUAGUUGGUGAGGUAAAGGCUCACCAAGGCGACG
rnacentral:rRNA from 1 species